rnacentral:rRNA from 1 species
CAGCAGCCACGGUAAUACGAAGGGUGCAAGCGUUACUCGGAAUUACUGGGCGUAAAGGGUGCGUAGGUGGUUUUUUAAGUCCGUUGUGAAAUCCCUGGGCUCAACCUGGGAAUGGCAGUGGAUACUGGAAAGCUAGAGUGCGGUAGAGGGUAGUGGAAUUCCCGGUGUAGCAGUGAAAUGCGUAGAGAUCGGGAGGAACACCAGUGGCGAAGGCGGCUACCUGGACCAGCACUGACACUGAAGCACGAAAGCGUGGGGAGCAAACAGGAUUAGAUACCCGCGUAGUCCCUGUCUCUUAUAC